UUUUCUGCUGGGCUUGCUAAGUCAACAGAGCCUCGUCCAUAGGUGCUGGUGACCAUCCUUGUCCGCUCAAGCACAGAGCUUGCCUGAGAAUGAAGAUCAAAGCAAAAGAAAGCCAAGAGUCAAACAAUGUAGAAAAAGAGAGUUUGAGUGACACCAUUUGAACAUCUGAAUCUAGUUAUGUGAAUCACCCACAGCUGGUGUAUUCCUUGAAUGAGAGCCUGAUGUUACCAUGCGGAGUGAAGCGUGAUUUGCUGCCUGCUCUCAAUGUGUGCAGUCCUGCCUCGUGGACACCUCAAAGUCUCCUUGCAGGGACGGUCCAGAGAAGGCUGCACCUCUCCACGCAGAGUCUAUGGAAAUGACGUCAUUCUCAGAGCAUGUCAUCCGGAGGUACGGAUGUCCGUUUGAGCAUUUUGUCAAGGUUUUUAGAAGUUCCUUAUGUAAUUAGAGACAGUCAUCCUUUAGCAUUCAGUCAAGCGAAUCAAGCUUUUCAUCUAUUGCAUGAAAUCAUCUGGAUUUUCAGACACAGUUUUAAAGGCUUCAAGUUCCCUGGUGGCUCAGCAGGUUAAGGAUCUGGUGUUGUCAUGGCUGUGGUGUGAGUUCAAUCCCUGGCCCUGUGACUUUCACAUGCCAAAGAGGAGCACCCCCCCCAAAAAAAAACCACCUUUCCCUACAUCCAAAUUAUGGAAGAAUUCACCUUAUAUCUACUCACCUGGUUUCAUAUUUUAUGAAAGUUUACAACUCUGAUCCAUUUGGAAUUUUGUCUUAAGUGUGGAAUUAGGAAUUAGUCAAAUUUUGUUGUUUUUCCCCAAAUGGUUUCUGGUGGUCCCAACACUAUUAAAAA